rnacentral:rRNA from 1 species
GAUGAACGCUGGCGGCGUGCCUAAUACAUGCAAGUCGAGCGAACAGACGAGGAGCUUGCUCCUCUGACGUUAGCGGCGGACGGGUGAGUAACACGUGGAUAACCUACCUAUAAGACUGGGAUAACUUCGGGAAACCUGAGCUAAUACCGGAUAAUAUAUUGAACCGCAUGGUUCAAUAGUGAAAGACGGUUUUGCUGUCACUUAUAGAUGGAUCCGCGCCGCAUUAGCUAGUUGGUAAGGUAACGGCUUACCAAGGCAACGAUGCGUAGCCGACCUGAGAGGGUGAUCGGCCACACUGGAACUGAGACACGGUCCAGACUCCUACGGGAGGCAGCAGUAGGGAAUCUUCCGCAAUGAGCGAAAGCCUGACGGAGCAACGCCGCGUGAGUGAUGAAGGUCUUCGGAUCGUAAAACUCUGUUAUUAGGGAAGAACAAAUGUGUAAGUAACUAUGCACGUCUUGACGGUACCUAAUCAGAAAGCCACGGCUAACUACGUG